GCACCCCGGCUUUGCCUUGGUGAAGAAAAGUCGCUGCGUUCCUCUUGCCUGAUGAAAUCCUCUUCCCGUCUAGAUCUGAGCCUCCGCGUGGCUUCCGGAUCAGAUGGUUGGUCCGAUCGAACAACGGUGAGUCUUGCUCUGUUACUUGAUUGUUCGAAACGCAUGGUUUUGUUUUGUGAUGAUGUGCAGGUUCCGAUCUGUUUCGUUUGAUUGAUGAGUUGACGACGCAUCGGCUCGAAGCGAGACGAGGCUGCAUGGUUUUUGUGCCUGGAGGUUUCUGAUCCGCGUGGUUAAGGAAACUGGGUGCUACAAUUUGUUGCUACAAGUGCCCGAUCCUUCGAAUUGAUAUCUGCCGACCUUCAGAGUUGGGACGUUCCGGGGGAUCUGGAUCUUGGCGGACUGGACAAAUUGGGAGGCGUCGACGGGCUUCUAAAGCGUGGCUGGACAAUUGUGAGAUGUGACAUCUUGAAGGCCUUUGCCAUGUUGGGUGCGCUCGCAUGGCAGGCAUCAUAAUAAAGAUGUUGGUUUUGUGUGCUGGGUGGGAGAUCGCACGGGGAAUUGUUUUUUCAUCCCUGGGUUCUCCCGCCCUUUGUGUCCCCGUGCCCUGCUUCGUGUUGUUUGGCUUCUCGUUCUACGCUUCAUCACCGGUGCUGCUGCAAAUUGAACGGAUCUUCUCGUCUCGAGGCGUGCUGCAAAUUGAACGGGGCUACAUCGCAACGCAACACAACACGCAAGGUACAAAUCGGAUCUAAACAUUUUCAAUUUACAGCAAAGUUAGCAAGUUACUGAAAUCACCAUCAAUCGUUCAAAACUUCGCGCACCACAAACUUAUAUACGCCUAUGCUACGUCAUCCAUAUGCACUUCAUUCACCCAACGCUUAUCCCGUAAGGCUAUAAAGCACAUGCGAAAGGCGUUCAGUCACUCUACUCUGUAAGGCGUUCUUCACCCAACGCUUCUCGCACGGGGGUCUUCUAUUGACCAUUGAAGAUAAACUUUUGAAUAUAUGAAUCAGCUGUGUAUUAUUUGUUGUAGCUUCAAAUGCGAGACCUAUGGUUGCAGUCAUUUUUAUUGUAGUUAGUUUAUAUGAUACAUCGUCGUCACCGCAUGAGAUCUACUGCUGAGCCAUAUGAAGACCUGCUGCCUCAUCAUGGUGUUUGUAUAUGAAGAUCAACUGCAGUGCCUACACGCUGGACGGAGUAUUUAUAUGAUGUGAAGGUCAACUGUUCGGCAUCGUCGGUAUGAAAUGGCUAUGGCCUUCAAAGCUUCCUUGGUCACUGGACAGGGAAGAAAUUUUCUGCUCAAGCUAAAAAUUAGAUACAAGCUUGUUCAACUUGCACUAUAGUUCAUUUGAGUACUUACCUGUUAUUGAUCUCUAUUGAGUUGAAGCUAGGUUUCAAGUAUCUCCUAAGGUUUCGUAUAGGUGAAAACCAGUGAUUCUCUCUUUUUUUUUAGCACUACAAUCUGUGACGUUUCAUGCCCUUAGUUUGAGCUUUCUCCUUAGUGAGUUUAUUAAUUUUUCUUCUUUUCCAAAUCAAAAGAUGUUUUGACUUUCCAUAUUUUGCUAUGCAUUUAGUUAAAUCUACACUGUAGAUAAACAAAUGUUUGUGGAUAAGUAAAAAUGCCUUAUUUGGUCGUCAUGGUAAAUGGCUGCGGUGGACACAUGAGCAGUCUCUGGCAGCUGAUGUGUCAGUGAUCUUGCUGUUUCAUUGUUGGUAUAUAUUACUGUCGGAUUGUUACUAUUGAGGAGCCAUUUUUUGCAAAAAAAUUUUGGAGGCUUCACUACAUCCAUUAUCAAUAACUGGAUUUUGCUCUACGAAGGAUGGAUCGACCUAUCUCAAUAUAGCUUGGCUUCAAUGGGCUAUCCCUCGGGAGCUCCUUCGCAGGUCUCAAUGAUGACAAAGCUCUCAUAGCUUCGAAAAUGGGCACAAUAUCCUAAAGUGCCUCUGAAGAAGUAGGAGUGAUCAACUUAGCAGUCGAUCGGAUCCUCGCCAUCUAAGGAAAUUACUCCCGAAGAUGUUAUGUCGAAACUACUUCCGAAGUGGUGUUAGAUGCAGAGUUUCGGAGUCACAGAAAAUUUUGGCAGCAAGUGGUUGGGGGCAGUAAAUGUGACUCGCUCCCACUCGCUCUAUCACUUUUAUACUGAUAAGUGGGCGCGAAGAGGUGCGAGUCAAGUCUGCGUGAGCAGGCAAUGUCGCCUUCCCCUUCUUCUCAUCUGGUGGACCGCGAGUCUAACUCUCUUUCUACCGAAUUGUUUAUUUCGCCUUCUCCAUAACGAGCUUCGAGAAGGUGUUUUCGGGACUUCGGCGCGAGGCCUCCCAAUAAUGAUUUUGGUGAUCUAAGCUCAUUAUGAAGAAUCGAACUCAUUCCACAAGUGGUCUUGCCAAAGGUCCUCAAAACAUCUUUACUUCGCUGUAAGCAAAUGUGCUUCAGGCAUAUAGCAAAGGAUGGACAAAGAUGGCUUUUGGCCGAAGCAGCGUGUAAAGAAGCUUCGUCUAUACACGUGUGCAACGAAGGUGCGAGCCAAGGUCGCUAGCCUUGGCUUGGAGAAAGCUUCGAGCGCGAAAAGAGACGAAGGGGAAUAAGUCCAAGACUUGUGCAAUAAAAUAGAAAAGAAAAAGACAAUGAUGCCCCUGUUAUAUUUGUAAAUCAUGUGUAUGAACUAUGUAUGCAUGUUUAUAAUUUCAUACGAAGUUGUAUAACUUUCCUAUAAAUAGGUGGAGAGUGCCAUGCAUAAAACACCUUAUGUAGGCCUAUAGCUUCGUCCAGCUUGACAUUUGAAGUAUCUUCGAGGUUUCUUAUGCACAAAAAAGUUGAAGGUAUGUUUGUAAACUUGUUUAACAUGAGGAAAGAUAUAAUAAAUAAUGUUAAGACA